rfam:Candidatus Nomurabacteria bacterium RIFCSPHIGHO2_02_FTLL_38_15 rifcsphigho2_02_scaffold_1770, whole genome shotgun sequence.
GUUGGUGAUUCAUCGUAGGGGUCACACCUCUUCCCAUUCCGAACAGAGUAGUUAAGCCUUAUUGAGCCGAUGAUACUCGUUUUACGGGGAAAGUAGGUUGUCGCCAGCA